rnacentral:rRNA from 1 species
GACGAACGCUGGCGGCGUGCUUAACACAUGCAAGUCGAACGGAAAGGCCCUGCUUUUGUGGGGUGCUCGAGUGGCGAACGGGUGAGUAACACGUGAGUAACCUGCCCUUGACUUUGGGAUAACUUCAGGAAACUGGGGCUAAUACCGGAUAGGAGCUCCUGCUGCACGGUGGGGGUUGGAAAGUUUCGGCGGUUGGGGAUGGACUCGCGGCUUAUCAGCUUGUUGGUGGGGUAGUGGCUUACCAAGGCUUUGACGGGUAGCCGGCCUGAGAGGGUGACCGGCCACAUUGGGACUGCGAUACGGCCCAGACUCCUACGGGAGGCAGCAGUGGGGAAUAUUGCACAAUGGGCGGAAGCCUGAUGCAGCAACGCUGCGUGCGGGAUGACGGCCUUCGGGUUGUAAACCGCUUUCGCCUGUGACGAAGCGUGAGUGACGGUAAUGGGUAAAGAAGCACCGGCUAACUACGUG